UACGUAGGCAGCAAGCGUUGUUCGGAAUUACUGGGCGUAAAGGGCUCGUAGGCGGCCAACUAAGUCAGACGUGAAAUCCCCAGGCUUAACCUGGGAACUGCAUCCGAUACUGGAUGGCUUGAAUUCGGGAGAGGGAUGCAGAAUUCCAGGUGUAGCGGUGAAAUGCGUAGAUAUCUGGAGGAAUACCGGUGGCGAAGGCGGCAUCCUGGACCGACAUUGACGCUGAACGGCGAAAGCUAGGGGAGCAAACGGG
rnacentral:rRNA from 1 species